UGUAACAUUGAAUAUUCAUCCAGCAGACAGCGUCAAGCGCGAGCUUUGCGUAAGCAAAAGCAAAAGUGCUUCACGCGUUAAAAAAAGCCAACACAGACGUGUUGAGCGGAUGAGUGUUGAAUGUUACAUGCUGGAUAGCGGCGGACGGGUGAGUAACGCGUGGGCAACCUGCCUUGUACAGGGGGAUAACACAGGGAAACUUGUGCUAAUACCGCAUAACAUCACUGAGUGGCAUCACUUGAUGAUCAAAGGAGCAAUCCGGUAUAAGAUGGGCCCGCGUCCGAUUAGCUAGUUGGUGGUGUAACGGACCACCAAGGCGACGAUCGGUAGCCGAACUGAGAGGUUGAUCGGCCACAUUGGGACUGAGACACGGCCCAGACUCCUACGGGAGGCAGCAGUGGGGAAUAUUGCACAAUGGAGGAAACUCUGAUGCAGCAACGCCGCGUGAAGGAUGAAGGUCUUCGGAUUGUAAACUUCUUUAGCCAGGGACGAAUAAUGACGGUACCUGGAAAAUAAGCCACGGCUAACUACGUGCCAGCAGCCGCGGUAAUACGUAGGUGGCAAGCGUUGUCCGGAAUUACUGGGUGUAAAGGGCGUGUAGGCGGGAAGGUAAGUCAGAUGUGAAAUUCCGGGGCUCAACCCCGGCACUGCAUCUGAAACUAUCUUUCUUGAGUGCUGGAGAGGAAAGCGGAAUUCCUAGUGUAGCGGUGAAAUGCGUAGAUAUUAGGAGGAACACCAGUGGCGAAGGCGGCUUUCUGGACAGUAACUGACGCUGAGGCGCGAAAGCGUGGGGAG
rnacentral:rRNA from 1 species